UACAUAUAUAUUUAUUAUACUUCUUUAGAUGGGUGAUAAAGAUAACACUCAAAUAUGCAUCACGGUAUAGCUUGGGUUCUGCAUUGCAUUUCAACAUUCCUUUUUUUUUGGCCGGGACGGGAGGUGGCAGGGUUUGGAGUCUGGAAUGAACUCGGACCGUAAAGGAGCAGCAUUUGGCUGGCUCGUCCCGCCCAUCUCCCCGUGUGACUCCGCCCAAGGGCACCAAAGCACAGAGCUGCAGGACGGAGACGGCAAGGAGGGGCGGGUCCACCGGUGGAAGGGCGUGUCCAUCUAUGAAGGGGGCGUAUCCCCUUGCAGAGAGGCGUAUCCAACAGAGGUCCGUCGCCCCCCACCCCCGCCCCGGAUACGUGCUGUGCCCUGGGCGACACUGAUAUGGGCAGGGACAGCCGUGCUGUAUGCUGUCAUAGUACCCGGAUAAAACGGAACCGGCCCUUUAAGCAGGUGGCAGUGGGUGCGGUUUCAUCGCCCGUGGGGGAGGGGUUUGGAACGUGAUUGGCGCGUGGCCUGUGCGUAGUCAUCUCCAGGUUGGGAAAACCCGGCGCCACUUCUCGACGAUGUCGUUCCUGACUACCCAGCAUGCUUUGCUACCACGACCACCGCCGCCACAGGGACGCACAGGGAGGUGGACGGCUCUCGCAAACUUCGAUGAUGAAAUCUACAACCCAACCAGCCAGUGUUAACGACCCCCAAACGAUCUCCCAAGAUCUGUAGCAGCAAACUGGACAUAACUCGAGUCUGUAUCUAAAUAUUCUUCAUAUGGUUUUAACUGCUCGUAGCUUUCACUUUUCUCCUUAUAAGUACUGUGUAAUAUUCACCUGGAUAAUAUUCUCACUUUCCCCAAGCCCAGCACAUCUUAUGAUCUUAAAACCCCUGCGUUUUUGCAGUGUAGCUGGGUUUAUUAACACUCGCCCAACCUCGGUCGUGAUGCGUAUCCUCAGAAACGCACAAGUGCUGCACCCGCAUGGCAGGCCCACCGACCCCUGCCCAGAGCGGCUCACAGCCUCCAUCAUCACAAACCGCUCCCUUACGUAACACACACGCACACACACACUCACUCUCACACACACACUCACACACACACACUCACACACGCACUCACACACACACACGCACACACACUCACUCUCACACACACACUCACACACACACACUCUCACACACACACUCACACUACACACACACACUCGCACAUACACGGUCACACACACACACUCACACUACACACACACACUCACAAUCACUACACACACUCACACACACACACACACACUCUACCUAAUCACAAACCGCUUCCUCACGUAAUCGCCACGUAUCAGCCAAUUAGAACAUUAGGACAGUAGGUUUUCCCCAGCACGUCCCUCUGUGAUGUCAUUUCCUGCCCCUCGCCCUUGUGAUAAUGACAGUCCAUUUUUGGAAUGGACUGUGUCGAGGCAGCUCCCAGCCCCUCCUGUAAUUUAUUUAUUUAUUCUCAGAGGUGCUGUGUGAGGAGAGCGAGCUUGGGGGUCCCGCCUCUGUUUGGUGCGGGACGUUGGGGGUGACGCACUCUGUCCGGCACACGGGACUGUGGAUUCAGGAAGGGCAACCUGACUCCUGGGGCGUUUCUCAAUAAAACGGAUCGACAGAUCCACCAAUCCAA